GCUGGGGGUGGUGGUGCACACCUGUAAUCCCAGCAACUCAGGAAGCUGAGACAGGAGGUUUAUAAAUUCCAGGCCAAU
rnacentral:sRNA from 1 species